rnacentral:misc_RNA from 1 species
GAUGAAGAACGCAGCGAAAUGCGAUAAGUAAUGCGAAUUGCAGAAUUCAGUGAGUCAUCGAAUCUUUGAACGCACAUUGCGCCCUGUGGUAUUCCGCAGGGCAUGCCUGUUCGAGCGUCAUUUCAACCCUCAAGCUCUGCUUGGUGUUGGGCCCUGCCCGCUGCGGCCGGCCCUAAAGACAGUGGCGGUGCCGCCUGGCCCUGAGCGUAGUACAUCUCUCGCUCCAGUGCCCGGUGGUAGCCUGCCAGAACCCCAACUCUCGUGGUUGACCUCGGAUCAGGUAGGGAUACCCGCUGAACUUAAGCAUAUCAAUAACGGAGGA